CCUACGGGGGGCAGCAGUGGGGAAUAUUGGACAAUGGGGGGAACCCUGAUCCAGCCAUGCCGCGUGUGUGAAGAAGGCCCUCGGGUUGUAAAGCACUUUCAGUGAGGAAGAACGCCUGGUGGUUAAUACCCAUCAGGAAAGACAUCACUCACAGAAGAAGCACCGGCUAACUCCGUGCCAGCAGCCGCGGUAAUACGGAGGGUGCGAGCGUUAAUCGGAAUUACUGGGCGUAAAGCGCGCGUAGGUGGCUUGAUAAGCCGGUUGUGAAAGCCCCGGGCUCAACCUGGGAACGGCAUCCGGAACUGUCAAGCUAGAGUGCAGGAGAGGAAGGUAGAAUUCCCGGUGUAGAGGUGAAAUGCGUAGAGAUCGGGAGGAAUACCAGUGGCGAAGGCGGCCUUCUGGACUGACACUGACACUGAGGUGCGAAAGCGUGGGUAGCAAACAGGAUUAGAUACCCGGGUAGUC
rnacentral:rRNA from 1 species